AACGGCAUUGGAUUUGCCGCCUCAUACCCACGACUCGCAUGAUAUAAGUAACAAACCUCAAGGAGUCGGCAUCCAACUAUAAUCCCUGAUUAAAACCUAAAUUUGAAUUCGAUCACUGUCUCCAUGGACACACUCUUUCUUCAUGAACUCUGUCGCUUUCCCGCUCUCUCCCUUCUUCCCAUCAUCUCAUCUUCGUCUUCCUCCUCGGAGACCACGAUGCGGUUGAGUUGUUCUCUCUCAGCGUUGGAAACGAGAGGCAAUGCGAAAAAGAAUGGCUCUAUAAUUCUCUGGUUCUGGUUCAAGCAGGAUCUUCGAGUCGACGAUCAUCCGGGCCUUGUAGCCGCCUCCGACUAUCUGGCCGUGGUUCCUCGCUACGUCUUCGAUCGUCGGAUUCUUUCUCGUUACUCUGUUUUCUGUCGUUGCUUGUCUUUGGCCUGUUUUAGCCAAGCCACUUGUCCUCAUUAAUUGUGCUGGAAACAUUGUACCAUGAUAUAGAUCUUUGCAGUUCUCUGAAAAGACGGAGCGUGCUGAUGAUUGGCUUAUCAAAGCAAUGCUAAGGGCAGUAUCCUCUUUGUUACUUGCAUCGUAUUAAUUCGAAUGGAUAUUAAUGUGCUGCAUUCAAAAUUAUGUCUAGUUUCAUGGAAAUAUCAUCUUAACAUCCAUGAAAGUCCUAUGAUCCUGGUGUCUUGGUGGUCCUGGAAAGUAUUUUCAGUUUCAAUCUCUCACUUCCUUGUAAUUUCCUCCUGAAGGAAUUCAAGGAAAGGGUUCUAAUUUUACAGGUAGAAUCUCAAUUGUGAGACAACACUGGACGUGGGAAUUUUUUGUUUAUCGUUUCUUGUCAAUGAAUUGACUAUUCAUAUAUAUUACCUGAAUGAAUUCCUGUUGGUUGGUAAUGGGUUACUUGUAGGAAACAAAAGAUCCAAUCUCAGACUCUAAAGUCCAACCUUGCUCUGCUUAAAGAGCAUUGUCAGGGGAUCAUAAUCAAAGAGUUAGAUGCUGAUAAAUGUGGAAAUCUGUUUAAAGCUUCAGAUAUAGUUGUUUGAUCUUAGAUUUUGAUCCGAGUUCUACACUGAUCAUAUACAUUUCUUAUUUCUGAUAUUUCAGGCCGCUGUUCCCAUGAUGAGCAGCCAGAACCCAGAAGAAGUGAAUUUAAUCAUUUGUGAAUGGGUAAUGGCAGCUGAAAGCAAAAUUCUGGCUGAGAGAUGAUUGUAGUUCUGUUGGUGUCUCACAGGUUCUUGUAUUUGUAUCAGAUCCUCUGUCUCCCAGGCUUUCAGGUUAAUUCUGCAUUCUUUUACCAAGUUUACUCUCACCCUUUUGGUCAAAGUUCAUUCUGUGAAAAAAAAAUUAAUUUUCCCUUUCAUCCCCGUAUUUCUGAUUUUUUUUCUCCUAUUGUUUACCCUUUUUCUUCCUCUUCAUCACCUUUUUUAUUUUUCUAUUUUUCUGCCACUUUCGAUCUCUAUUUCCGGAUCAGUCGGUUUUCAUACAUUUUUUUAGCGGGUUCAAACAAUGUUGAUUUAUCCACUUCAUGUUGCUUUGUGAUUUUUAUCUUUCGACAGAACAUAGCCUUCCUUGCUCUUUGCAACUAA